GUGCUCACUACAGCACAUAUACUAAAAUUUGAAUGAUACAGAGAAGAUUAGCAUGGCCCUUGUGCAAGGAUGACACGUGAAUUCAUGAAGUGUUCUAUAUUUUU
ensembl:snRNA U6 U6 spliceosomal RNA